rnacentral:lncRNA from 1 species
UGAGGAGCAAUAGUGCGGAGGUGUCUGCCGUGUCAGACAUUCUCCGCACUGAGGAGUGCCAGAAACAUUGGCAUAUUAUAAAAUCUGAGGCAAGACGGAACACCCGCAAGCAGAGAGAAGCCAUGACUGCCACAGAUGGUGGACCUCCUGCCAACCCUCCUCUCUCCCAGCACAAUGAGUUAAUCUUUGAGAUUUUGGACCCUAAGAAUGUCUCUAUUCAUGGGUGUACCAAUAAGGCAAGCAUCAUUGAAUGCACCUUCCUUAACAAAGGAUAAGCCACUUGUAGAUAUAGCAAUAUUAGGCCAUAAUGUUGUCUCAAAUGUCUGCAAUCUAAAAUACUUGUUCCCACUUAGUUUACAACUUAGAGUUAAACACAAUAGUAAAUUUGUUAUCUAGUGUUGAGAAAAUUUCUUUUUUUUUUUAUUCUUUAACCAAACAGCUAAAACAGUAAUAAGAAAAGAAAAAAAAAAACUAAUAAAGUUAACUUAAUUCCUAUCCCUUCUCCCCCCUCAUAAAUAUGGUGUUGUAGUGGGUGAAUGUGUUAAUGAUAACGAGUCUUAGGUAUUUACAGUUUCUUAGACAUGGGCUUCCUUCAAACAUAAUAGGAUUUAAGUCAAACACAUUGUACCCUUAGCUAGAUUUACUGGUUUCUGUUACUUUUGUCCUUAGCAAUAAAACCAAAAACAUUAUCAGCUUAGUUUCUGAAGUUAGAACUAAUGAUGCCAGCAGUGUGCAGGCAGCAGAUGAUGCUGGGGAAGUGGCAGAGGCAGCCCAACAGAGAGAAGUGGUGACCGAGGCAGUGGGUGUUGAGGAGGAGGCACCUGCCACACCACUUGCAGCACCAACAGGGGCCAGACUUGCCUGGUACAUCACUGGUGUUUGUGGAUGAGGAGGAGAUCAUCCACCUGCAGAAGAAAAGGAAGCUUGAGCUUGCACUCCUUGAAGAAUCUAUAAUGGCUCAGGAAAGGAAGCAAGAAGCAGAACAGGCUAAGUACAUGUACUACACACAAAAACUAGAGUACCAGAAACAAACAAAUAAAAAAUAGUAAUAAAGAUAUAAAUAAUGUA